rnacentral:rRNA from 1 species
GAAGCUGGAAUCGCUAGUAAUCGCGAAUCAGAAUGUCGCGGUGAAUACGUUCCCGGGUCUUGUACACACCGCCCGUCACACCAUGAGAGUUGGGGAUACCCGAAGCCUGUGAGCUAACUGUAAAGAGGCAGCAGUCGAAGGUAGAAUCAAUGAUUGGGGUGAAGUCGUAACAAGGUAAC